AGAGUUUGAUCCUGGCUCAGGAUGAACGCUGGCGGCGUGCCUAAUACAUGCAAGUCGAGCGAAUUGAUUAAGAGCUUGGUCUUAUGAACUUAGCGGCGGACGGGGGAGUAACACGUGGGUAACCUGGCCAUAAGACUGGGAUAACUCCGGGAAACCGGGGCUAAUACCGGAUAACAUUUUGAACUGCAUGGAUCGAAAUUGAAAGGCGGCUUCCGCUGUCACUUAUGGAUGGACCCGCGUCGCAUUAGCUAGUUGGUGAGGUAAUGGCUCACCAAGGCAACGAUGCGUAGCCGACCUGAGAGGGUGAUCGGCCACACUGGGACUGACACACGGCCCAGACUCCUACGGGAGGCAAAGUUGGGAAUCUUCCGCAAUGGACGAAAGUCUGACGGAGCAACGCCACGUGAGUGAUGAAGGCUUUCGGGUCUUAAAACUCUGUUGUUAGGGAAGAACAAGUGCUACUUGAAUAAGCUGGCACCUUGACGGUACCUAACCAGAAAGCCACGGCUAACUACCUGCCAGCAGCCGCGGUAAUACGUAGGUGGCAAGCGUUAUCCGGAAUUAUUGGGCGUAAAGCGCGCGCACGUGGUUUCUUAAGUCUGAUGUGAAAGCCCACGGCUCAACCGUGCAGGGUCAUUGGAAACUGGGAUACUUGAGUGCAGAAGAAGAAAGUGGAAUUCCAUGUGUAGCGGUGAAAUGCGUAGAGAUAUGGAUGAACACCAGUGGCCAAUGCGACUUUCUGGUCUGUCACUGACACUGACGCGCGAAAGCGUGGGGAGCAAACACGAUGAGAUACCCUG
rnacentral:rRNA from 1 species